GUUUCUGCCUCUUCUCCACGAUGUGCUCUGACAUCUCUCCCAGAGAGAAAGUGAGGAAAUGGCUAAUGACCUGGUGCUGUGAAGUGCUAAUGAGCCUUCCACGCACGGCAGCUGCUGGAGUCGAGGUGGCCUUGCAGGAAGGGCUGAAGAAUAGAUAUUCCCCCUCAAAAGUCCAGGUGAACUAUCACAUGUGCUCUCGACUGAAGAAACUACAAGCUUAGCCUGUGCCCAUCUCGGAACCUACUUCUGGACAGAAAAUGAACAUGAGAAUUUUUCAGCAACAGUUUAAUUGCAGGUGGAAUCUAGCUGGACAAAUGGGUUAAUCCUCAGAAUCUGCCAUGCUUCAGCAUUGCAUCCUGGCACUGUAUAAUUUCUGCCACGUUUGAGUGCCCAAGCACUGGGAGGUCAUUGGCAAGGAAAGCUUCUCAGUACAUCUUCACAUGGGGUCCAGUGAAGCAUAUUUUCAGAUAUGCAGUCAAAAAGCUGCUGAAGAACAACCACCCGUUCAGAUGUUACCGUGUUCCUUUGCCUUUGCUGCCACUUGUCAAGCUGGAAAUUAGGAAUGCUCCUUUUCCCGGAGAUCUGGCAUCCCGAGGAGUCCCCUGCAGUGGGGAAAACCUCCCUCCACGAAGCUCCAGGAAGAGGGACACCACGGAGUGCUCUUUUCAACAGCAAUGUGCAACUGAGGGCCAUAAAUGGCCUCUGGAUCUCCCACCAAGCCCCACGUUGGUCACCUUCCUCUCUCCAAC